GAUGGUUUGACAGAACCCCACUGACUGACUCAGCCUGCUCCUCACAAGCAGGGAAGAGCUGUUGGCAGCUCUGGUCACACAGGGCAGCCCAGGAAGCAGCAACACAAGAUGCUGGAGGCUGGGGCACAGAGGAAGGCUGGAAGAGUU
rnacentral:lncRNA from 1 species